GCGGGCUGGAGGUCGCGCGCCCGGGGCAGAGCCCUUCUGCUCCCCCUCUCCUCGCUCCAGGUGGGACUUUGGCCUCCGCGCCCCCUCCCGCCGGGCGCCGGCCCUCCAGGACUCCUCGGUCCCGGCAGCGCUCACACCGGGCCGUCCUAGUUGGUCUGAGGGCCCCUCCCUCCCUCGGCCACCCUGUCACCGCGGGACAGCCUCCCCGGGCCCGUGCCUGACACGAGGGCAGUGCCCAGGGGCUUGGCCUGGGCCGUGGGGCGACCCCGCGGGGUCUCCCCCAGCCUGAGAGACUGCGGGGAGGAGAGACGCCGGCUCGUGUCGCCCGCAGCGAGGACGGCAUGCGCACAUGCCUGCUGGCUGGAGCAGGAUCCCAUAUUUGGGAAAUUCCAGUGACUGCGUGCGCCUGGCCAGGGAGAGGAAGGAAAGCUGUGAAAAAUGUGACCGGAGAGAUUGGGAGGGUGAGGGGAGGGGUCCAGGAGAAGCAGCCUGGAGCCACGGAGGGGCAGAGGAAGGGUGCCAGGGAGAGGCCCGGGUGGAGACUGUGACCUGUCAGCUGUGACAGUUCAGCGCCCCCUUCCUUGGGCAGCUCUUCCCCACUCUGUCUACCACUGAGCUUGCUGGACGCUCUAGGGGGUUCCAAGGUAGCCCAGGAAAAAGCCUCCACAGAAAGCAGCACUUCCUUGCCUGUCCAGACCAGGAAAUAACAGUGAGUGCCAUGACAGGGUGUGGCCAAGGGGCCUGAGGGGCCAGGCCUUGGAGAAGGUAGGGGAGAGAGGGACCCAGAAUGGACCGAGGCCAAGAAUGCAAGAGAGAGAGAGAAAUAGCGCGCACGCACAAGUCUGGCUGCUGGUUAGAUCGCCACAGAGACCGGCAGCUGACUCACCUGGGCAUGCCAAAACUAGCCAGUCUGUCCUCACCCUGCCCCAUGGUGAACGUGAAGCCUGCCUGGGGAGCCUAGGUACUUGCUGUGUGCCCUAAGGCCCUGAGUCUGGCACCCUCACCAUGUGCAGCCCGGAGGAGGUGGCCCUGCUGCGGCUGGAGGAGGUCUUCUCAGCCACCCUUGCCCGCGUUAACAGCCUUGUCCUCCAGCCCCUUCUGGAGGCCGCUCCAGAGCCCUCAGACCCCUGGGGAAGAGAGUGCCUGCAGCAGCUGCACAGGAGCUCCCAGCAGCUGCGGAAGGUGACAAAGGAAAGCCUGCACUCGCUGCAGGAGAGGCUGCGCCACCCAGACUCCAAAGGUCUGGAAUCCCUGCUGCUGCUGCACAGCGCUGACUGCGUCCUACAGGUCCACCUGGAGUACAUCGAGGCCUACACAAGCUGCGUGGUGGUGCAGGCCUUUCAGAAGGCAGCAAAUAGGAGGAGUGAGUACUGGCGGGGCCAGCGGAAGGCGCUGCGGCAGCUCCUGGCAGGCAUGAGCUCAGAGGGCUCAGUGGGCACGGCGCUGGUCCAGGCCCUCGGCCAGCUGCUUACUCAUCAUGUGCAGCAGUACGUGCUCCUCCUGCUGAGCCUCGGGGACACCGUUGGGGAGCAUCACCGCACCCGGGAGCUGGUGGUGCACGCAGCCACCAUCUUUGUGAACUUGCAAUCCUUCAUGAGGCAGGAGCUGGACCAGGCCAUGGCCACGCAGGCCCUCUGGCACACUCUGAGCAGCCGGCUAAGGGAUGUGCUCUGUACCCGCACUCGCCGACUCUUGCAAGACAGCCAGGACAUGCCCAUGGUGGUCACCCCGCUGAGGGCAGAGCGUGUGCUGCUCUUUGAUGAUGCCCUUGUCCUGCUGCAGGGCCACAAUGUCCACACCUUUGAUCUGAAGCUGGUGUGGGUGGAACCUGGGCAGGACGGGUGCGUGUUUCACCUCCUCACGCCUGAGGAAGACUUCUCCUUUUGCUCCAAGGACCCUCAGGGCCGGGUGGUCUGGCAGUGGAAGGUUACCCAGGCUGUGUGCCAGGCCUUGCGUGGGAAGAAGGACUUCCCGGUGCUGGGGGCGGGCCUGGAGCCUUCUGAACCCCCCACCAGCCGCUGUGGAGCAUACACCUUCCGUGCGGAGGGCCGGUUCUGCCAGGCCACCUACGAGGGCGAGUGGUACUGGGGCAGGCCCCAUGGCAAGGGAACCCUGAAGUGGCCAGAUGGGCAGAAUCAUGUGGGGGAUUUCUGCCAGGGCCUGGAGCACGGCUUUGGCAUCCGCCUGGUGCCCCAGGCCCCCGAGGAUAAGUUUGACUGUUACAAGUGUCACUGGCGGGAAGGCGGCAUGUGCGGCUAUGGCAUCUGUGAGUACAGCACCAGCGAGGUGUACAAGGGCUACUUCCUGGAGGGCCUGCGGCAUGGAUUUGGGGUCCUCGAGAGCGCCCCACAGGCCCCUCAGCCCUGCAGGUACACGGGCCACUGGGAGAGGGGCCAGAAGAGUGGCUAUGGCGUCGAGGAGGACAGCGACAGGGGUGAGCGCUAUAUUGGCAUGUGGCAGGCUGACCAGCGCCUUGGCCCCGGGGUCAUGGUCACCCAGGCAGGUGUCUGUUACCAGGGCACCUUCCAGGCAGACAAGAUAGUGGGCCCAGGAAUCCUUCUCUCUGAAGAUGACUCCUUGUACGAGGGCACCUUCACCAGGGACCUGACCCUUGUGGGGAAGGGCAAGGUCACCUUCCCUAAUGGCUUCACCCUGGAGGGCUCUUUUGGCAGCGGGGCAGGGAGAGGACUGCAUACCCAGGGUGUGCUGGACACAGCUGCCCUCCCUCCAGAUCCAAGCAGUACCUGCAAGAGGCAGCUGGGUCUGGGCGUCUUCCCCAUGGAGAGCCGCUGGCAGGGCGUCUAUGGCCCCUUCUGGGACUUUGUUCGCGCCGGCUGCCCUGGGGACCUGCAGGAGGCCCUGCUGGGCUUCCAUGUGCAGAGCUCGCGGGAGCUGCGCAAGUCCCAGGAGCACCUGUGCUGCGAGAGGACCCACCCCGAGGACCAUGUGGGCAGAAUGGAGGACAUCCUGGAGGAGCUGCUUCAGCACCGGGAGCCCAAGGCCCUGCAGCAGUACCUCAGGAAGGCUCUGAGCAACUCUCUGCAUCCCCUGGGAAAGCUGCUUCAGACUCUGAUGCUGACCUUCCAGGCCACAUACGCAGGCAUUGGGGCCAACAAGCACCUGCAGGGGCUGGCGCAGGAGGAGGUGAAGCAGCACGCCCAGGAACUCUGGGCCGCCUACAGGGGUCUGCUGCAGGUUGCCUUACAGCGCAAGGGCCAGGCCCUAGAGGAAGAUGAAGAUGCUGAGACAAGGGACCUGCAGGUGCACAGAUUAGUGCUACCCCUCAUGCUGCCCAGCUUCUACUCGGAGCUCUUCACUCUCUACCUGCUUCUUCAUGAAAGGGAGGACAGCCUCUACAGCCAGGGCAUUGCCAACCUGAGCCUCUUCCCCGACACCAAGCUGCUUGAGUUCCUGGAUGUGCAGAAGUCCCUUCGAUCCAUUGAUACUGCGCGUGUUGAGGGCAUGAACACGCUCUCUCCUCCCACACCUGGUCCACUUUGUCUCAAGGCACCUGUGGCCCUUCAAGGACCUCACACUGACGAGCAAUCAGAGAUAUUCCCUCGUCAGAGACAAGUGCUUCCUGUCAGCCACAGAGUGUCUGCAGAAGAUGAUCACCACGGUGGACCCCCGGGAGAAGCUGGAGGUGCUGGAGAGGACAUAUGGGGAAAUCGAGGCCACCGUGUCACGGGUGCUGGGCCAGGAGCACAAGCUGCCCAUGGACGACCUGCUGCCGCUGCUCAUCUACGUGGUGUCACGUGCCCAGUGAGCUCCCGCUGGGGGCGGGCUGCAGGAGAAUCCAGCACCUGGGGGCCGAGAUCCACCUGAUCCGUGAUAUGAUGGACUCUACCCACACAGGAGGCCGGUAUGACUUCCUGCUCACAGCGCUGGAGUCCUGUUACGAGCACAUCCAGAAGGAGGACAUGGGACUGCAUCGCUUGCCCAGCCGCUGGAACUCCAGGGAGCUAUGGUAGCUCAGCUUCUCCUGGACAAACCGCAGAGCUGAGAGGGGGUGCCGUGGAAUUCCC